rnacentral:lncRNA from 1 species
AGAGUAAUGCAGAGUGAGGUAGAGUCAUGCAGAGUAAAGUAGAGUAAUGCAGAGUGAGGUAAAGCGAGGUAGAGUGAGGCAAACUAAUGCAGAGUGAGGUGAAUGGAGGUAGAGCAAGAUUGAGUUAGAGUCAUGUAGAGUAAAGUGGAGUAAUGCAGAGUGAGGUAGAGUCAUGCAGAGUAAAGUAGAGUAAUGCAGAGUGAGGUAAAGCGAGGUAGAGUGAGGCAAACUAAUGCAGAGUGAGGUGAAUUGAGGUAGAGCAAGACUGAGGUAGACUCAUGUAGAGUGAGGAAGAAGGUACACCAAAGAAACGUGAAGUAGAGUGGAAUAGAGUAAUGUAAAGUGAGGUAGAGUGAGGCAGUGAGUUGUUGAGUUCGAGAGAGUAAAGGACCGCGAGGUAGACUGAAGGUGGAUUGAGGUAAAGAGAGGUAGAGUGAAGUAGAGCCUAGUAGCGGAAGGCUGCACCGACCUGCACUCUGUCGCCCCCUGGAGAAGGGAGGGGUGGUAAUUGCUGUAGUGAUGUUACACAGUAAGACUGGGGGGGUGUUUGUGCUGCAUGGGGUGUGUUUUAGGCUCUUUAUCUGCAAACGACUGCAUUAAUUCUGCAUUAAGUGUGUGUUCAUGUCUGGAUGUGUCUCUACUGCUAGAGCUGCUCCUUUAGGUAUAACCUUCCUACUCCAACCAACCUGCCUGCAGCAUGCAGAACAGCUCAUGAGUUACUGACGAGUGUGAAGAUAUUUACUUGUUUUUGCUUGUUGUUUGUUUGUUUGUUUGUUUGUUUGUUUGUUGGGCACAACAGCAGCCAAGAGUUUGCUGAACAAGAAGACGGAUGGAGUGAAGGAGCCUCAGACUACAGUGAUCCAUAACCCUGUGGAGCGGAACAAGGUGAGACUUCUUUUUGAUGUCAGGGUGGACCGUCUGGGUAGGGGCACCACUACAGUCAUCACACCAGAAACACACUUUAGUUUGGAGUUUUCCGGCGGCCGGCAAGCUGUUACUCCAUUUCACUUCCCGCUGGUUUGUUUGUAACAUACUGUAAGACUCCUACUCGCCGAGUCCUGCUGACCAGAGAAACCCAACAGAUUCUCCCUGACGACCAGAACUUCAGCUGUGAACCGGCCGACCCAGUCACAAACAGUCCUCACUACUGAGAGCAGUCUGCUGACUUACAGUUCUGACCAAAUCCAGAACCCGUUUCACAGAACCUGAAAUAUCGUCACUCCACCUUUUAACAGAACGUCCCUUCUGUUCUUCUCAGGAGUCAACAGAGAGUGCCAACA